GGAAAAUCUAGAAGGAUUUCCAAGCAGCUGAGGACCUGAGAGCUACUUUGGGGAAUACAAAUGGGUCUGGCACAAAUCUGAUUGGUCAGCAUCACACCCUCCAAGAAGCCUUCUUUGACCGUAAAUCCUCAAGUUUGAUUUGUGACUUAAAUAUUUCUGCUUGAUACUCUUACAUCAGUCUGGCCAUACCUUAUAAUUCUUACCAUUUGGGGCUGAAUAUUGAUUUUCUGCAUCUCUCUCUUCAAGGGUAGGACAUGCCUUAUUCCCUCUUUGACUGUAGGACUUUAUGUCCAUCUCAUAUGAGGCUCUGGGUAUUAUUUGAAUUAACUGAGGUAAGAAAGAGAAGGGUAAGAAGUGAUUCAGGAUGGUGUGCGCUUAUGAGAGCUGGUGAAUGAUGUCAAAUUACAGAAAUAAUACAAUUUGGUAAUGAGUUUAAUGUCCUUUAUUCAAGGGAAACAAUUCAUAGAUUGGGGAGUCCAGUGCCCCACAAGCAGUGGAACACUGUUCUGAGGGAUUUGGGGUGAGAGGGAGUUUUACAGAGUUAGAAGAGGCAGCAGGGAAACGAGGCAUGAUUGGCUAAGAGGUUGGGAUUUCCUUAUAAGGCUAGCAGGUCCUAUUUUCUAGGGUUAGAGAAGCUACAUAAAGCUAAGUUGGAGGAUCAUGAUUGAUGUAUGUUACCACUCUUUGACAGAUGUUCUCCAUAACUGCAGGCUGACUUAGGCUGAGAUUUGUCUUGUGGGCUGGGCCACUGGGGUCCCACUCCAUAUUGUGGGUCCCAAUAUACAAAUUAACUUUAUCAGUAGAGAAUGUCAAGAAAGAGUGAUAGUCCACAGUAAGAAAUGCUAAGGAAAGAAAUUCAAGAAUGAGAAGUAUUGAUUAUGAAAUGAAGGAUGUCGCUGAUGACCAUAGAGAGGGGAGUUUCAGGCAAGAUUUAAAUCCUGAAGUCAAGUUGCAGAAGUUGAUAGGAGGCAUGCAUGACAAUUAAAUUAUAGUGCCUUAGAGUUUAGUGUAAUUUUCAAUUCAUAUUGAUUCUCUUCCAAAUCAGGGAGUAAUUAUUAUACAUCUAAGUUUAAAGGAAAUUUAUAAUCAUGUUUACCAUUUAAAUAAAAUGACUGGAUACUAUAUUUAGGUAACUUGAAACUGUGUAAUACUGCAGAGAUGUAAAUCUUUAUGUAGUAUGGGGAAAAAUUACACAUACAUAAAGAAGCAUAUUAAAUUCAGGCAUUUGUGUCUUCUGAAUUAUCAUCUGGAAUAGUUUUAGCAAUAAACAGAAGCCAACUUCUCAGUGGUGUGUGCAGAUAUUAGCCUUUCCAUUUCCUAGAGUGGAAUGAUUCAGAACAGCUAUGUUUCUAUAGUCUCCCACUUUUUAACAAUAGCUUGAUUUUUUUGAUCUUUUAAGGUUUCAUACAAAUGUUUGUGAAAAAUAGUAUCUAAUUACUGUUUCUUUUUGCAUAACUUCCUGCCCCUCUUCUUGGCUAUAAGAGUUAUUGUCUUUCUUCCUAAUGAAAAGAAGGGGGUGUGUAUUUUUUUGGUCCCUGUGGUAUUGCCAUUUCUUUGGCUCCUUCUUAUCUUAUUCUUCAGAUAGAGCUGUUUAUCUGAUUUUGGAGUUCCUGUCAUGGCUCAGCAGUUAACUAACCCGACUAGCAUCCAUGAGGACGUGUUUGAUCCCUGGCCUCUCUCAGUGGGUUAAGGAUCCAGCAUUGCCAUGAGUUGUGGUGUAGCUUGCAGAGGUGGCUUAGAUCCCGAGUUGCUGUGGCAUAGGCCGGCGGCUACAGCUCCGAUUGGACCCCUAGCCUGGGAACCUCCAUAUGCCU
rnacentral:lncRNA from 9 species